UCCGAGUUGACCCCGGCAGUCUCCUGCGAGUCCCCGCCAUUACGCGCUGGCAACACAGGACAAGGGUUGCGCUCGUUGCGGGACUUAACCCAACAUCUCACGACACGAGCUGACGACAACCAUGCACCACCUGUACGCCGCCCUUACGGACCCCCCAUCUCUGGAGGUUUUCGGCGUAUGUCAAGCCUUGGUAAGGUUCUUCGCGUUGCGUCGAAUUAAGCCACAUGCUCCGCCGCUUGUGCGGGCCCCCGUCAAUUCCUUUGAGUUUUAGCCUUGCGGCCGUACUCCCCAGGCGGGGCGCUUAAUGCGUUAGCUACGGCACGGAUCCCGUGGAAACAGAUCCCACACCUAGCGCCCAACGUUUACGGUGUGGACUAC
rnacentral:misc_RNA from 1 species